rnacentral:sRNA from 2 species
AUUCGUGCGAUAUUGAAAGAUGACUGGUCUCGAUAGCCAGCAUCCGGACCUCUCCCAACAAAAACAUUUCAUCUUCAUACUGCUGAGGAAAUACCAACGGUAGAUGGGAUCACAAGUGAACAGUGCCAACACACGACGAUGCUCGGAAACACUUGCUGUUCAUGGCAGGGGCCCGAACAAUCCCGAGUUCUUGAUAUUCUUGAUACAGUGGCGAUCAAUAAUAUGAACCUGUGACAAGCUUGGCGUUCCCCCGUUAGGUAGGUUACCAAGUUUGAGAGAUAUGUUUGCAAUGGAUGAAUGAAUAACAUCAAUAGAGCCAUUCACUUGUUGAGCCUUGGAUUCGAAAUCCAAACAGUGCAACACUCUCACUACGCCUGCUGAGCAAGCUGUGAGCGGGGUUUGUGAACCGCAACUCAUGUUCUCUUGGUGAGUACUAAGCGCGACUG